rnacentral:rRNA from 1 species
AUUGAACGCUGGCGGCAUGCCUUACACAUGCAAGUCGAACGGCAGCACGGGUGCUUGCACCGGGUGGCGAGUGGCGCAGGGGUGAGUAAUACAUCGGAACAUGUCCUGUAGUGGGGGAUAGCCCGGCGAAAGCCGGAUUAAUACCGCAUACGAUGUACGGAUGAAAGCGGGGGACCUUCGGGCCUCGCGCUAUAGGGUUGGCCGAUGGCGGAUUAGCUAGUUGGUGGGGUAAAGGCCUACCAAGGCGACGAUCAGUAGCUGGUCUGAGAGGACGACCAGCCACACUGGAACUGAGACACGGCCCAGACUCCUACGGGAGGCAGCAGUGGGGAAUUUUGGACAAUGGGCGAAAGCCUGAUCCAGCAAUGCCGCGUGUGUGAAGAAGGCCUUCGGGUUGCAAAGCACUUUUGUCCGGAAAGAAAUCCUUGGCCCUAAUACGUUCGGGGGAUGACGGUACCGGAAGAAUAAGCACCGGCUAACUACGUG